GACAGAGGCCUCAAGCGUUAGGCGGAAUCACUGGGCUUAAAGCGUGUGUAGGCGGAUCGUUAAGUGUCUUGUGAAAUCCCACGGCUCACCCGUGGAACUGCUGGGCAUACUGGCGAUCUUGGGCCAACUAGGGGCAACUGGAACAAGCGGUGGAGCGGUGAAAUGCGUAGAUAUCGGGAAGAACACCCGUGGCGAAGGCGGCUCUCUGGGACGGUACUGACGCUGAGACGCGAAAGCGUGGGGAGCGAACAGG
rnacentral:rRNA from 1 species